GCGCCGAUUGAUCUUUGUAACGUCUCACCAAUCCUUUAAUCCAUUCUUUACUCCGAGUUUUUCCUUGAUUAAUUCACUCCUCCCACUUGAAGAAUUCGAUCUACGUCUUCGUUUUCCACUGUAACCGGCGGAAACUUCAGCUAUAAAUAUCGGAUUUUCUUACGAUUCACAGUACAACCCAAACGAGAUCCAGAAACAUACUAUUUCCUAGCAACCGAUUCUGAUGGCGAAUUCAUACACUCUCCUUGCCGAUUUGAGAACCGAUGCUCUAACAUUGCCGAGGUUCGUCUCCUCAAGUUCUAGGAGGCCAGCGGGGAUCUGAUGAGUGUUGAGAUGUUACUGAUUGAUGAGAAUUCUUUUGUAGUGCCAUGUUUACUUAGGAUUCACAGAACACACCAAAUUCGUUGAGCUAGCAGCAACCAUCAACCUAAUUCCUCACGAGAUGUUUAGGUUAUAUUUGGUUGGUGAAGUGAAGGGCAUCAAGACCAUUUUCAAUGACGUGACACAGAACACAGACCACAUAAAGUAUAAUGGCAUACUUGCAAAUUAACAGCUUCGUUUCAACUGCAGUUUUGAACAUGUGGCUCAGAAUUGACAAGUAUGCGUUUAAUGAAAA